rnacentral:tRNA from 1 species
GAGCUUAGCUCAGUUGGUAGAGCAACGGCCUUUUAAGCCGUGGGUCCCGGGUUCGAUCCCCGGACGCCUCA